AAUGAACGUUGGCGGCGUGGAUUAGGCAUGCAAGUCGAACGGUAACAGGUCUUCGGAUGCUGACGAGUGGCGAACGGGUGAGUAAUGCAUCGGAACGUGCCCAGUUGUGGGGGAUAACUGCUCGAGAGAGCAGCUAAUACCGCAUACGACAUGAGGGUGAAAGCGGGGGAUCGCAAGACCUCGCGCAAUUGGAGCGGCCGAGGUCAGAUUAGGUAGUUGGUGGGGUAAAGGCCUACCAAGCCGACGAUCUGUAGUUGGUCUGAGAGGACGACCAGCCACACUGGGACUGAGACACGGCCCAGACUCCUACGGGAGGGAGCAGUGGGGAAUUUUGGACAAUGGGCGCAAGCCUGAUCCAGCAAUGCCGCGUGCAGGAAGAAGGCCUUCGGGUUGUAAACUGCUUUUGUCAGGGAAGAAAUCCUCUGGGUUAAUACCCCGGGGGGAUGACGGUACCUGAAGAAUAAGCACCGGCUAACUACGUGCCAGCAGCCGCGGUAACAC
rnacentral:rRNA from 1 species